AGUUCGGACUGGAGUCUGCAACCCGACUCCACGAAGUUGGGUUCGCUAGUAAUCGCGCAUCAGCCAUGGCGCGGUGAAUACGUUCCCGGGCCUUGUACACACCGCCCGUCAAGCCAUGGGAGCCGGGGGGCGCCUGAAGUCCGGGACCGCGAGGACCGGCCUAGGGCGAAACUGGUAACUGGGGCUAAGUCGUAACAAGGUAAC
rnacentral:rRNA from 1 species